CCAAUAGCGUAUAUUAAAGUUGUUGCAGUUAAAAAGCUCGUAGUUGAAUUUCGGGAUCAGCAAGUUGGUCGUGCCACUGGUAUGUACUGGCUUUGCUGAUUCCUCCUUCUUGUAGAACCGUAAUGCCAUUAAUUUGGUGUUGCGGGGAAACAGGACUGUUACUUUGAAAAAAUUAGAGUGUUUAAAGCAGGCUAACGCUUGAAUACAUUAGCAUGGAAUAAUGAAAUAGGACGAGCGAUCCUAUUUUGUUGGUUUCUAGGAUUGACGUAAUGAUUAAUAGGGAUAGUUGGGGGCAUUAGUAUUCAAUUGUCAGAGGUGAAAUUCUUGGAUUUAUUGAAGACUAACUACUGCGAAAGCAUUUGCCAAGGAUGUUUUCAUUAAUCAAGAACGAAAGUUAGGGGAUCGAAGACGAUCAGAUACCGUCGUAGUCUUAACCAUAAACUAUGCCGACUAGGGAUCGGAUGAUGUUAUUUAUAAUGACUCAUUCGGCGCCUUACG
rnacentral:rRNA from 1 species